UUUGCUAAAAAGAAUCUAGUUUGUAAAUUUUAAUUAUUAUGUGUUUAGUGUUUCACAUGACACCUACAUUGUCACCAAAAGAGAACUCUGUGGCCUGGGGGUUUUUAUGAAGUGCUUAAGAACAUUAGAACUUUUUCUGCAAGUGUUGGCAGAGUUAACUCAUUUUACCUUCAAAAAGAAAGAAAUUAAUCUCCACAUGCUUUUAAUAUGAGCCAAAACUGCUGCAUUAAAACCAAUUUGUUUUAUACACCCUAGAGAUUGGUAAUAUUUUUCAUUAAGUAAGUAUGGGCUUUUUUGUGCUGAGACAACAAUAACUUGAAGAAUUGCUGAAAUAUUGCUUUUCCUGCCUGCCAAGUUGUUUAGCUGUACAUCAGUGGUUUGUGUCAGGAUAGAUUGAGAUUGAAGUUUGACUGUUAGUAGGAGAGAAUGCUUGCAAGUGCAAUUAUGUUCAGGCAAAUAUUUUCAUGUAAAUUUUGAUCCAUUGUUACAUCAGAUGUUAUUAUGAAUUUACUGUAGUUACAGAGUAAGUUUAAGUCAAAUAAGGUAAAUAUAUAUUGUGUUUUAAUGUAUGAAAUACUUUUAAAAAUCACUUCUUGUCACAGUCUUUUAGAAAUAUUUAAGAAUGAAGGAUCUAUUCUCCAAAUAUUGGCCAUUCCAGUUUUCUGUUAAUAUUUUGUUGGUUUUUUUCAGUGUUGAAAAGCUUUGAUAAAUGUUAUAUGUGAAAUGGAAGAAAACAUGAUUCAGUGGGCAGGACAUGGGAAAUCCAAAUGAAAUGGUACUGCUUUUUAAUAUGCUUUGGUAUUCACCUCCUGUAGAGAAUAAUUCACACCUAUCAAUCUUUUGUGAUGUCAAGCAAAACAUGGUACAGUUCCCAAGAGAACUGGAAUUAAUAAGUCUUUUGAUACAUCACUGACUUCUCUGUUUUGCCACUUAAUUUUCUCCAAUAGCUCACUCACUGAAUCUCUGAGGGCAGUUUCUUUUUCCAGAAAAAAAGGAUGUGGCACAUUUUUAUUCAAGAAUCAUUUUGGUGUUCUCACAUGGACAGGAAGAUGAUGUGAAAUUUCAUUCUUUAUAUAGUCAAAUAAGGCAGAGCAUCGUAUCAAUAGCACAAACUCUGGAAACAUCAUGAAGGGGCUGCUUGUUCUGUACUCUAGAGAGGCCAUGGUUUCCUGUUGAACCUCUGCCUUUGCCAGCUCCCUGUUUUGUCCUGAUGCCCAAUGCAGCAGUAGGUGGAAUGGGAGACACUGCACGAGGAUGGCCAUUGCUGAAGUGCAUGUGUUGCAUCACGUGUUGCUCAUCAGAGAGAUUGUGGAGUCUCCCUCAAGAACAUCUGGACAUAAUCCUGUGCCAUGUGCUCUGAGAUGACCCUGCUUGAGCUGGGAGGUUGUACCAGACGACCCACUGGGAUCCCUUCCAACCUGACCCAUCCUAUGAAUAUAUAGCCACACAAGGCAACUCGCAACAAGGCAAGCAGAGAAAGCCUCAAGCAGUGCCAGGGAAGAUUCAGGUUGGGCAUCAGGAAGGAUUUUUUCACAAAGGCUGUCAAGCAUUGGAACAGGCUGCACAAAGAUGUGUUGGAGUCACCACCCCUGGAGGUGUUCAAGCAACAACUGGUCAUGGCACUGAGUGCUACGGUCUAGUUGACAAAGUGGUGACUGGUCAAAGGUUGGAAUCACAGAAUCACAGAAUAAGCUGAGUUGGAAGGCAGCCACAAGGAUCAUCAAAUCUGACUCCCUACACAGCACCAUCCCCAAGAGUCACACCUUGUGCCCAAGAGUAUUGUCCAAACUUUCCUUGAACUUUGUCAGGCUGGUGCUGUGACCAUUUCCCUGAGAAUCCUGUUCCAGUGACCAACCACCGUCUGGGUGAAGAACCUUUUUCUAAUAUCCAACCUAGCCCUCCCCUGACACAACUUCAGGCAUUCCCUUGGGUCCUGUCACUGGGCACCACAGAGAAGACAUCAGUGCCUGCCCCUCCUCUUCUCCUCACAAGGAAGUUGUAACUGCAUUGUUGUAACUCUUCUCCAGGUUGAACAGACCGAGUGACCUUAGAUGUUCCCCAUAGAGCUUCUCCUCGAGGUCCUUCACCACCUUUGUUGCCCUCUUUUGGAUAUUCUCUGCUGGUUUUCUAUUUGACUUCUAUUAUGGCACCCAAAACUCCCCCAGCACUCAAGGUGAGGCUGCCCAGAGCAGAGCAGAGCAGGACAAUCCCUUCCUUGCCUGGCUGGUGAUGCUGUGCCUGGUGCCCCCAGGACACACUUGGCCCUCCUGGCUGCCAGGGCACUGCUGGCUCAUGUUCAACUUGCCAUAUACCAGGACUCCCAGCUCCCUUCAUGUGGCACUGCUUUUCAGUCUCAUUCCUCAAUCUGUACAUACACAUCUGAAGGUCUUGUUCAGCCUAAAUGAUUCUAUGAAAUAAAACUUUUUUUUUUUUUUUCAACAAAUGUGCACUUGUCUUGAAUCUCUUCCUCAAUAUGCUUUACUUGUGCUGGUCUCUGUUAUGGGGGGUGGCAGGGAGGGGGAUGUAGUAACUUCAGAACAAACCUUUAGGUCCUCAUUCUGUGCAUGUCACAGAUAUUCUGUUGAUAAGAGAACUGCACAGUAUGAUAAUGUUUCUCCAGAGCCAUAUGUAGUCUAUCUUGACAAUGAACGAUGGAUGCUUCUCAGCAUUCAUAUUGGCAAAAAUUAUCUGAAAAGAGAAUGUGA